ensembl:lncRNA
GUUAGCCUGGGAUGCUCUUCUUCCAGUUAUAGCCACUGCCAUGUUUUGGCUCUAGAACCAAAGGCGGAUUGAUAUGCACGGAUCUUAGGAGGUGCAGUGAGACAGAGAUGAGAAUGAGAAUCUGCCAAGCACUAGGAAACAAUAUUAAAUGAGCACCUUGAGGAAAUUGCAAAGUAGUUUCUACUUUAUCAGGGUUUUCAAUUCCAGUCAUCCAUUGCUGUGUGAAGACGUGCCCUAGGAAGCCCUAUAUAGAGGUCCACAUAGUAAGGAACUGAAGCCUCCUACCAACAGCCACAGGAGUAAACUUGGAUGCAGAGUCUCCAGCCUCAAUGAAGUCUUCAGAGAGACUGCAUAUAGCCUCAGUGACAACUUGACUACAACCUCAUGAAGAACUGUGAGCAAGAAUUACUAAAUAAGCCAUGUCUGAAUUUCUAACAUUCAGAAACUGUGUGCUGCUGCUGCUGCUAAGUCGCUUCAGUCAUGUCCAGCUCUGUGCGACCCCAUAGACGGCAGCCCACCAGGCUCCCCUGUCCCUGGGAUUCUCCUGGCAAGAACACUGGAG